rnacentral:rRNA from 1 species
GAUGAACGCUGGCGGCGUGCCUAAUACAUGCAAGUCGAGCGAACAGAUAAGGAGCUUGCUCCUUUGACGUUAGCGGCGGACGGGUGAGUAACACGUGUGUAACCUACCUAUAAGACUGGAAUAACUCCGGGAAACCGGGUCUAAUGCCGGAUAACAUGUUGAACCGCAUGGUUCUACAGUGAAAGGCGGCUUUGCUGUCACUUAUAGAUGGACCCGCGCCGUAUUAGCUAGUUGGGGAGGUAACGGCUCACCAAGGCAACGAUACGUAGCCGACCUGAGAGGGUGAUCGGCCACACUGGAACUGAGACACGGUCCAGACUCCUAAGGGAGGCAGCAGUAGGGAAUGUGACGCAAUGGGCGAAAGCAUGACGGAGCAACGCCGCGUGAGUGAUGACGGUGUUCGGAUCGUAAAACUGUGUUAUUAGGGAAGAACAAAUGCGUAAGUAACUGUGCGCGUCUUGACGGUACCUAAUCAGAAAGCCACGGCUAACUACGUG